rnacentral:rRNA from 1 species
UACGUAGGGUGCAAGCGUUGUUCGGAAUCAUUGGGCGUAAAGCGCGUGUAGGCUGUUUAUUAAGUUGGGUGUGAAAUCCCUGGGCUCAACCGAGGAAGUGCAUCCAAAACUAAUAAGCUAGAAGAUGGUAGAGGGUGGUGGAAUUCCAAGUGUAGAGGUGAAAUUCGUAGAUAUUUGGAGGAAUACCGGUGGCGAAGGCGGCCACCUGGACCAUUCUUGACGCUGAGACGCGAAAGCGUGGGUGGCAAACAGG